UACGGGGGGUGCGAGCGUUGUCCGGAAUCACUGGGCGUAAAGGGCGCGUAGGUGGUUUGAUAAGGGUGUGGUGAAAGUCCGGGGCUCAACCCCCGGAUCUGCCGUGCCGACUGUCAAACUCGAGGACUGUAGAGGCAGACGGAAUUCCGGGUGUAGCGGUGGAAUGCGUAGAGAUCCGGAGGAAGACCGGUGGCGAAGGCGGUCUGCUGGGCAGUUUCUGACACUGAGGCGCGACAGCGUGGGGAGCAAACAGG
rnacentral:rRNA from 1 species